UUGGGUUGGUUUUGCCAAAUUCUGGCCUUGGAGCUUUCUGGGUUGGAUGGUGGCCAGUGAGAUCCUGUGAGAGGGGAGUGGGGCUCCCGGGGAGACCCCAUGACAAGUCCUAGCCCUUCUCCUACAUGUUUCUGAGGGUGACCAUUGCAGUUACUGAGCAGCCGGUGCACUCCAGCUCUGUGUUCUGUACCACAAACGGAAGAGGCAGAGGGCGUUUUUUGGGCCGCAAGUCCCCAACUGGGAGAAAUGAAGGCUGAGACAGCGGACCAUCAAGAGCCAUGGAAGGUGUCAGAGGACCGACCAGAGCCUGCAGGGAGAGGAGAGAAGCGCUGGACCUCAAAUACUACUCAGACUGCAGUUGUCCUACAUGGCCACCAGGGGACGCACCAGGCAACAAACAACCACCCAGGCCCCUGUCCUGGCUCCAGGCAGGAACUUGCUGUUUCUGCCAGCAUCUGCCUCUACCACCCCGGGACUGCACAAAAACCCUCUGAACUGUAACCGAACAUUACCCUAAGCGGCCUUCCCAGGGCAGACUCCUCCCACACAUCUUCUGUUUUAGCUCCUUUAUGAAGUAUGGAGAUAAUAGUA